rnacentral:rRNA from 1 species
AACGAACGCUGGCGGCAGGCUUAACACAUGCAAGUCGAACGCAUCCUUCGGGGUGAGUGGCAGCCGGGUGAGUAACGCGUGGGAACGUGCCCUUCAGUUCGGGAUAACCCAGGGAAACGUGGGCUAAUACCGGAUACGUGCGAGAGCAGAAAGAUUUAUCGCUGAAGGAUCGGCCCGCGUCUGAUUAGCUAGUUGGUGGGGUAAUGGCCCACCAAGGCGGCGAUCAGUAGCUGGUCUGAGAGGAUGAUCUGCCACAUUGGCACUGAGACACGGCCCAAACUCCUACGGGAGGCAGCAGGGGGUAAUAUUGGACAAUGGGCGCAAGCCUGAUCCAGCCAUGCCUCGUGCGUGAUGAAGGCCUUAGGGUUGUAAAGCUCUUUCGCCCGGGUCGAUAAUGACGGUACCGGAAGAAGAAGCCCCGGCUAACUUCGUGCCAGCAGCCGCCGUAA